CUUGAUGGUCAGCACACCAAAUGACAACUGGUGAGCCAUUGGGGGAAACGGUGAGAGUGCACAAGGUGUGAAUGUGCACUCUGGCCUUUUGAUAUACAUGAUUUGGGAGAAGAAAGGACAAUGGUCUCAUUGGCCAACCAGUGAACCUUAGCAACUUCAGUAUUAUAAACAUGCAGCAAUGAGGUAAACUAACACUUCAUUGCCCUUCCCAUUUGUGUUUUAAUUCUGUUACUUUUCCCUUCUUAUCCUAUUCAGUUAGAGUUUAAACUUCCCACUGAGACCAGUGUUGCUUAUACAUAAGCCUUCAGUAUUAAUAAUGUCCCUAAAAUUUGGGAGUACCGAGAAAGUCUUCUGACCCUUGCUUCCUCUCUCAUAAUCCAUCGGAAUGACUACAGGCUGUGCUCCUGAGACAGGGUGCCAUGACAUUUCAGCAAACAUGCCUGAAAGAAGAUCCACCUGCUGCUGCACACGCCUCUGAAGAGUCUUUGGUUCAAGAGGCUCAAAUCCUUUGACCUGAAUGAAGGACCAGCCUUUCUACCCUUUUAGGCUGUGUGCCAGGACUCUAGGCUUCUAAGGUCCCUACUCUGUUUCAAGUCUCCACGGCCAAAACUAAACCAGGUGGCUGAAGAAUGUCCUUUGGGGAGAGAGUGCCUGAACUGAGGGAGAAGUGGACCAGCAUUCCAAAUCACUGUAUCUAUCAAGACCUGUCAGAGUUCAUUCGACAUUGACCAACAAUGAGUGCUACAGAUUCUGCAGUAAACAUCAGCAUGAAACAAUUGAAUCCAAGCAAUUUUAUAGAGAAUUUUGUUUCCUAUGUUAUAUUUGGUCAGAAGCAUAAAGGAUGUUAACUUUUUUUUCCCCCUGAACUCUGCCACUCUGCAGCAACUAUAUUAAGAGGAGCAGAUUAGUAGGUUAUAUAAAGAAGGUCCCCUUGGGUUUAAAAUUUAGAUUGUUAUACUAUUUACUUUUCUCCGCCUUGAGUUCCUAUCUUGCCCAAGACCAUAAGCCCAAGAAUUUCCAGUAUCAUCACAGAAAUCUACACAGUCUUUUAAACAGCUGCUGAAUGUUGAUGGUCUCACGAUUCCUUAAAGGAAUUUCUCUGUGGGUGGGGGAAGUCAUCAUCUAUGACUCAAUUAAAUAUUGCAAGCUCGUCCACAAAAACUAAAGAAAUACUGUGGAUUCUCAGAAUCUCGGAGUAAACUAUUCCCUCUUUCAUAAUUAAGAACUUGGUGAGAACAAACUCCCUAUUGCCUUCUUUCAGUUUAUGUUUAAUGAAAAGACCCCUCUUGGUAAAUGAUAAAAGUAAAUGGGUGACUCCAAAAACUGCAGUGCACCAGUCUCCUGAUUCCGCUUUCACACAUUUCUCCUGGCUCUGACUUCCCAAGGAGAUCACAUUGGUUGAACUGUAGAGCUUUCCUCAAUGUGACAGAUGGAAACAAAGCCAGAGCAAAAGUGAUUUUCUCCAUUGACACACUAAGCAAUACCCUAAACAGCUUCACUUCGCUCAGUGUGAACCCACGGAGAGUACCAAGCAUCAUAGCUCCUUACCGCUGCCUGGCUUCCAUUGCAGGCUGGGCCAGGGAACCAGAGCCUAAUGAGCCCCAUGAAUCUAAAGCUGGAAACUGCUUUGUGUCCAGUUUGUGCUUAGUCCCUCUUUCAUGUCAGGGUUUAUUACAAUAGUCAACUUCUAGUCUGAGUUGAAACCAGGAGAUUAGCAGAAAACUUUGGGCUGGGGAAGGUGCCAGAAAGAUUUCUGUACACAGAUCAAAUUAACAUACACGUUAAUGGAACUGAGUUUACCUCUGAUACUAUGACGAUCCAGUCAUCAAUAAUAAGAGAGGGAAAAUCAUGUACCCUUCUGGCCCAAUAAAAAAUAAAUAAAUAUGAAGGAUCUGCUUUUUAAAUCUUUCUCAAAUUGACUGCUUUUGGCCUUCAGUUUUAUUAGAUUAUUGAAAUUCUAUUGAGCAGUUGUGUUCAAUUUGGUGGCUUCAGACAUAGGACAGAGGUUAGGUGAGUGGUCCUGCUCCCAAAUAAUAAGUCAAACCCUGUGGUCCAGGGGACUUCCAUUCACUACCUAACGUCAAAAGACUUGCUGCAGGCCCCUAUGAUCUUUU